rnacentral:tRNA from 1 species
GGGUUGAUUAGCUCAGCUGGGAGAGCACCUCCCUUACAAGGAGGGGGUCGGCGGUUCGAUCCCGUCAUCACCCACCA